rnacentral:rRNA from 1 species
GACGAACGCUGGCGGCGUGCUUAACACAUGCAAGUCGAACGGUAAGGCCCUUCGGGUACGACGAGUGGCGAACGGGUGAGUAACACGUGGGUGAUCUGCCCUGCACUUCGGGAUAAGCUUGGGAAACUGGGUCUAAUACCGGAUAGGACCACGGUCUGCAUGGAUUGUGGUGGAAAGCUUUUGCGGUGUGGGAUGGGCCCGCGGCCUAUCGGCUUGUUGGUGGGGUGAUGGCCUACCAAGGCGACGACGGGUAGCCGGCCUGAGAGGGUGUCCGGCCACACUGGGACUGAGAUACGGCCCAGACUCCUACGGGAGGCAGCAGUGGGGAAUAUUGCACAAUGGGCGCAAGCCUGAUGCAGCGACGCCGCGU